rnacentral:rRNA from 1 species
UGCGAGUCAAUGUUCUUCGUGAACAUGGCGUACUGCUCAGUAACACGUGGAUAAUCUGCCCUAAGGUCUGGCAUAACACCGGGAAACUGAUGAUAAUUCCAGAUGGACCAUGGAUACUGGAAUGUUCUGUGGUCAAAAGCUCCGGCGCCUUAGGAUGAAUCUGCGGCCUAUCAGGUUGUAGUGGGUGUAACGUACCUACUAGCCGACGACGGGUACGGGUUGUGAGAGCAAGAGCCCGGAGAUGGAUUCUGAGACAUGAAUCCAGGCCCUACGGGGCGCAGCAGGCGCGAAAACUUUACAAUGCGGGAAACCGCGAUAAGGGGACACUGAGUGCCAGCAUCUUAUGUUGGCUGUCCACAUGUAUAAAUAGCAUGUGUUAGCAAGGGCCGGGCAAGACCGGUGCCAGCCGCCGCGGUAACACCGGCGGCCCGAGUGGUGGCCACUAUUAUUGGGUCUAAAGGGUCCGUAGCCGGUUUGAUCAGUCUUCCGGGAAAUCUGACAGCUUAACUGUUAGGCUUCCGGGGGAUACUGUCAGGCUUGGGACCGGGAGAGGUAAGAGGUACUACAGGGGUAGGAGUGAAAUCUUGUAAUCCCUGUGGGACCACCAGUGGCGAAGGCGUCUUACCAGAACGGGUCCGACGGUGAGGGACGAAAGCUGGGGGCACGAACCGGAUUAGAUACCCGGGUAGUCCCAGCCGUAAACGAUGCUCGCUAGGUGUCUGGGAUGGUGCGACCGUUUCAGGUGCCGCAGGGAAGCCGUGAAGCGAGCCACCUGGGAAGUACGGCCGCAAGGCUGAAACUUAAAGGAAUU